GACAGAGGUGCCGAGCGUUAGGCGGAAUCACUGGGCUUAAAGCGUGUGUAGGCGGUUCGUUAUGUCGGAUGUGAAAGCCCUUGGCUUAACCGAGGAAGUGCAUCCGAAACUGGCGAGCUAGAGUACGAAAGAGGAUCGCGGAAUUCCCGGUGUAGAGGUGAAAUUCGUAGAUAUUAGGAAGAACACCAGUGGCGAAGGCGGCUUACUGGUCCGGAACUGACGCUGAGGUGCGAAAGCGUGGGGAGCAAACAGG
rnacentral:rRNA from 1 species